rnacentral:rRNA from 1 species
UACGGAAGUAGCGAAUGUUAUCCUACUUGACUGGGCGUAAAGAGUCCGACGACGGUUUGUUAAGUUGUUAGCGUAAGAUGGAAGCUCAACUUUCAAAAAAGUUUCAAAACUGGAUUUACUUGAAUUUAGGAAAAGAUAAUAGAAGUUUCCGUGGAAGGAUAAAAUCGGGUAAAAUGAAAACGAAUAUCAGCGGCGAAAGCGAUUAUCUAGCUUAAACUGAGAUUCAGGGACAAAAGGGUAGGGAGCGAACAGGAUUAGAGACCCUGGUAAUCUACCCCCUAAAUAUGGGUGCCGGCUUUUAAAGUUAUUUUUACCAGGCUCAGUUUACGCGUUAAGCGCCCCACCUGGGAACUACGAUCGCAAGAUUGAGACUCAAAGGAAUUGACGGGAACCAAAGCAAGUGGUGGAGCAUGUGGUUUAAUGCAAUAAUCCGCGCAAAAACUUACCAGAUCUUGUAUUUUUUUUUUGAGAAAGAAAAACACAGUGUUGCAUGGCUGUCGAAAGCCCGUGUUUAAGAUAUGAGGUUUAGUGCUCUAUCGGGCGAAACCCGCUGAUAUUAGUAUUUGUAAAACAUAUAGAUGAAUUAAACAAUUCUUAAUAUGAUUAUUAAAUCAGAAAGUAAGAGAAAAGGGACUAUGUCAAGUCAUCAUGGCCUUUAUGAAAUGGGCUACACAUGUGCUACAAUGGCUGUACAAAGAGAAGCAAUAAAGAGGAUUUAAAGCAAAUCUGUAAAGGUAGCUUUCAUUCAGGUUAUAGAUUGGAAAUUAUAUAUCAGAAACUGGGAUCAGUUGUUAUUGUGAAUUAAAAGCGUCGCGGUGAAUAAGCUUCUAGGUCU